AUUGGUAUUCAUUUGAAACAAAAGUUAUCUAUACUUUUGCUGUUAUUGUAAUUCUUCAAAUUAAACAAAAUUGUUCCUACAACAACGUUACUUUGCUCAACACAAUUCAAAAACAUAAAAAUCCAUUGGUCUUCGCCGCAACCGCCAUAGCUGUGUAGCAUCACCGCAUCUUCGCCGCAACGGCCAUAGCUGUGUAGCAUCACCGCAUCUUCGCCGCAACCGCAUAGCUGUGUAGCAUCACCGCAUCUUCGCGGGUGUUUUGUUGCCGGAGCCUAGCGUUGUCAUCUUCUUCAUCUUCACACUUCAACUCAGAUUGUUUAUCAGCUUCUGUUUUUCAUUGUCAUUGCACUUCUCAAAUUCGAUAAGGUCACUGAUUUUGCAGGAUUUUACAGUGGGGAGAGGAUCGCCGUUUUGAUGAAAUGCGUAGUAAUUUGGGGAGAUUGGCUGUGUGUAGUGUCACCAUCUCUAUUUUCACACUAUUUACAUGCAUGCUCUAACUCAUCCAACCCAAAGCCUCAUAAUAUAGGAACUCACUCUUGCUUAACACUAGCAACGGUCCAAUGCGCCUAUAAAUACCCUCUCUAUUUUCACAUAAUCAGCGUAAACACCCUCUCGCAAUCAAACAUGUGACUAGUGUCACCAUCUCUAUUAUACACUUUGCAAGUACAAUUGGCAUUCACUCUAGGAUCUGGUAAAACUGACCUAGCUUUAAUUUUAAUCAAAUAGACUCGAUUACUGAUUACUACAACAAUAUUUCUACUCCUAAUUGUGAUUGGCAAUGAGGUUGAAGAAGAUGAGGAGGAGGAGCCUCCCAGGAAAAGAUUGUUGCUCCUCUCAAAAUUUCACCCUUAUUGGAAGUGGUUAUUCUUUUUUAUUUUAUUUCAUAAUAACUAUUAGUUAAUUACACAUGUUCGGUUGUACUUUCUGUUUUUAGCAAUGUUUUAUUGAUAUUUAAAGUUAACAUGGGUUUUUCUAAAAAAAAUAUUACUAUCUAACAAUGAACUUUGAUCGAUAGUAUGAAAAUGUGUAUUAUCUUUUGUAUUCUUAUGUUUUUAUCCUCUGAUAAGUGUAGGGAAAGAAAUUCCUAUAUUGUUUCACUAAAAUUCAACAAAGCAGCUAAGCUACCACCGCCUCACCGUAAUGAUAUUUUGGGGGUUGGCUGUCUGCAUGACCCAUUUUAUUAUUGUUAUUGUUUCUUCUUUCUCAUAUUAAAGGAUUAGAAAAAGUCUUUUUCAUGUGUAUGUUUUUUAUUCUAUAAAGAAGAAUAGUUAAUGCAUGGUCGUCACUCGUCACUUUGCAAAUAAAUAUUGUAUUUCACACCAUAAUAGAUUUUAUAGCUAAUGAUUUUGAUAGAAAAGUUUUGAAUCCAACUGUAUAAUAAUUUUUUACCAUUGGAAAUCUAGAUUCUAUGUGAACCACAUUCAAAUUGUAGGACCAUAUGUCUCAUCAAAGAUAUUAGUGAGGAGUUAUUAUUAAAAUUAUAUGUAGCUUUGUCGGAUAUAUCACCAACAAAGAACGAAAGAUGUCAAAUUAACUCAUUAAGAAUCAAGCCUAAAUAUUUGGAAACAUCAUCAUUUCCUAGGGGGUAACAUUGUUGGACCCUUACAAAGGAAAC